rnacentral:lncRNA from 1 species
CCGGAACUGCAAGAUAUCCUAUACUGCAUUAUUACAAGAUAUCUGGCGAUUUGUGUGUGUUUUCUGCAAGCCUCUAACAUGCUGUUUGGUCAUAUAUAUGUAGACAUGAAAAUCUAAGCAUUCAGAUAGUUAUAAGUACAUAUAUUUCAGUUGCAACUAAACUGUACAUGACGAUGAAUGAAUAUUAACUAAGUCAUUCACACAAAUAAAAAAGUAUCACGGCAAGAGUGAAUAUCCAAUUAAAAGUUCAUGAAGUCAGACAGAUAAAAAAGCUGAUUCUUAAACACGAACAAAUAGAUAGAAUCUCGCACAAUUGCGACACCUUCGCCUUAUCGUUGUUACCUUUUCUGCUUCCCUUCUCUUUAUUCCCCUUAGUUCUGUUUAUCCUACCCCUAGAUCAAAUAUCAUUUGGCGGGUGGAUGUUAACUUCAUUAGUAAUGGUGCAACCAAUAAAUUCUUCAAACUCUUGUGGUACAGUUUAUUGUUUUGCUGGGACAUUCAGUUCGUUGCUUUCCAUCUCUAGAGAGCACGCCUCAUUCUGAUUGUUUAGUUUGAAUUAGCACAUUGAGGACAAAACAUCUCGUUUGUUUUCCAUCUACUGCAGAACCUACUGGACAGAACAAAGUCGAGGGAAGAAGUAUGCGAGUCAAGUAUCUGUGAUGACCAACUGAUGAAAAUCACAUUUGAGUGGCCCAGUCGUUUGAUCUGCUCCAACACUACCGUUCCGGCUUUCAGAUUGAGUAACCUGUACCCACGUCUACUGCAAACCUACUAGACAGAAUAAAAUCGAGGGAAUAAGUAUAUAAACUCGUUAGUUAAUCAAGAUGAAUAGAUUUGCCUAUCUGCAGACAGCUCUGAAUCAGUUUUUACCCUUUCUUUUCUAGAAAGAUAAGAACAAUACCCAGUACGAUCCUCUUCUUCUGUACCAGCUUCACUGAGGCAGGGGCGGAGCCAGGAUUUGAACAUAGGGGGGGCCAAGCUAAGUUGACAAGAAAAAUAUCUAGUGCAGAAAAAAAACCCGUAUAGGUGGUGCUUCGGUGCUAUAAAAAGAUCAUUACAUUUGAAUUAGUUUAAAUUUGCCUCCAUGAUUGCUAGUAAAAAAUCUUAAUAUUAAUAAUUUCAUCAGAAGGGGUCUUGGCUGCAAAUUAUAUUAUUAUUUUUAUGAGAAGGGGUUUCCCUCCGCCACAUUUUAUAAGAGAAAUGAGGCAUCUACUAAUUAUUUAUCAAUGUAGAUUAUCAUGCCAUGACAAAGCAAGCCGUCUCACAUUUUACUUCUAAGACGGGUGUUCACAGUUUUAGUAGUAAAAAAAACACUUGCCGUUGAAAUUGGGAGAGUUAUAACUAGAUGCAGCAACAUGCUUCGAAAUGAAUUAAUCUUGAUGCUUGAUGGUGUUUUUCUCUUCAUAGCCGUUGAACUGAAGUUUCAGAAUUUGUUGUACUGUAUAAGUUCGUCAUAUGAAAUAUUUGCACCACAUAUAGGAACUAGUAUACGAUAAUUUGCAUCACGAUGAUUUCUUGAACAAGUAAAAUAUAAAAAAUCUCACGGCAUCACUGAUCACCCAAAGAGAAUAAAUGAAAUCUAUAAAUUACACACAUACAAAAAAAGAAUUGAGAAUGAUUAGAAUAUACUGUAGGAUCUUAACCUUGGCAAGUUUAGUACGAUUGGCUCGAGCCUAAUGAAUCAACGAGUGAAGCAACUACGUCGCCGUUUGAAUCCAAUCUGAUCCUAAGUUGAGCAGGGAGGGCCAGGGGCACGCAGGCGGCAGGGGAGCGGAUGGCAGCGGUGCAAGGGCUAAUCCCACGCACACGCUAAUCACGGGAGAGCGCCACGACCUACGAAACUACGGACGUGGCCAUCUGGCCAUUAAUGGGCUUUCUCAUGGGCUCUUUGCCGUUUUCCAGAAUUUACCUUGAGGUGAUAGGAGGGGCCAGGUACAAGUGUUCACCGUUGUUAUCGCUAAUUACCUCGUGGUGGCUGGUGACUGCUUGCUUGAUCGUUAGGGGGGGCCAGGCCCCUGCUCGCCCCCCCUUGGCUCCGCCACUGCACUGAGGAGCCAAUUAGUACAAAAAUGUCUUUUGAAUUUCAUAGUUUUGGUCAUGAUGCCAUCAUACCGCAUGCAUGGUGCUUAUGCAACUAUAAGUCUAUAACUACAGAAAUGUACCUUUCUUUGCCUACAGCUAAAUAUGACCCGUCUUAGAUGGUUUGGAAGAACUAAUAUAUGUACUCUCCCUUUUGCCUACUUUUGGGUAUGAAUAGUUCAACUGAUUUUUGGUGAUUCAGAUUAUAGUAUCCAGCUUUCCUGGCUCUAUUUUGUGCAUCUAAAUUUUUUGUGUGCAAAUAUGUUCCUGAAAAGACAUGAGUUGUAUAGUUCAGCAUCCUGCUUUGUGGUAGGUUGAUAAUAUUCCAUUUUUAUGAUUACCCUGCUUUAGAUUAUUCUUGUGUGCCUUGUGCAGCCUUUCCAUUCUAGGCAUCAUUUCUCAAUUGUUUGGGGUCCAAUUCUACAAAUGCUUGGAUGUGUUGGUUCGGCCUUCUGUUAAUCUCCAGAUGAUAGGUCAGGCAGGCAAGUUAAUUCUCUAGUUUCUCAUGAUACUUCUAAAAUCUAUUGCAUAGUAGGAUACGUGCCUGAAAUGUGUGCACACUUACAAUUUCGGUUGUGGAGUUAAAUUAUAAAUCGAUUUGAUACGAUAGAUAUGUAUAGAAAAAGCUUUCAACCAAGCAGACUAUUCUUUUAGUAUAUAAAUAGUAUGGCUAUAUACACUGAGUGCAAAAGCUAUUUGUUCGCCACUUAAGCUUAUAUAUUUUCUUUAGCUAUCGUCCUUUGACAUUUUCUUUAUGCAAUGGUUGGUUGAUCAAGCCGAGGACUUCCCUGCGGUGCUUGGUUGGACCAUGUUUCAUUCAGCUAAUAAAAUAGUAUAUAUGUGUGUGUGAUUGGUUCAUCAAUUUUCAGAAACAUUUGUUGCCCAGUAGCUUCCAAAUAGCAGUUUUGCUUUCUUUGUUGCACCUAUAUACUUGCACCUUACAACAACCAUCAUGUUCGCAAAUCGUCUCUAUUAAUGUCCUUUCUUUACUCAUUUAGGACUUAUGAGUUGAUUAAUAUGUCACUCUCAAUAAAGUGUUUUCUUUAAAUGAGGAAUGACAUAUAUAAUUGGUUCUAUUAUAAUAGCUAGCAUUCAUCUUUUCCAAAUAAAUUGUACUGCCUUUUGCUUUAUCUCUUGGUAUAUUUUUCAUUGCUAACAAUUGAUCUGUAGAGAUGCUAUUCUGUCAAGAUUUUCUGCUAUCAAAUAAUUCAUGGCCAGCUACAAUGUUUACCCUUUUAUGUAACUAUUGAGACCCUCUCAGCUGUGCGAUGUAAUCUCAGCUCUCAGGCGCUAGAUUAUGUAUGUACUUGCCUCUCGUUAUGGCGCUCACAAUGCUUCAUGUUUGUUUACCUUUCUCAUUUCGGUGCUGUCCUGUAAUAAAACAAGAUAUUUACUCAAAUCCUUGCAGGAAUAACUAAGCCUUUCAAGGAUGUUGCUUGAAGAUGGAGGGAUCUUUCCCUACAAGUUUGUUCUUUUUGUUGUUACAGCAAAGACUACUUCCUGGGUUGUCGAGGUGAGCUGUAUGAUGUAAGCACUUAUGGAGGAGAAAAAAUUACUUAGAAUUUGACUUCUCCUGCAUUUAUAGGCUAAUCAAGUGACCUUUUGUCAACUUUUAUGCAAUCUGGCUCUCCAAAUUUUGUGCUUGCUCUGAACUCUCAAAAUUUGUGCUUUGUUGUCCUGUGUUGAUUAGUCAAAUCCUGGUUUUGUCUUAAAGACUAUACCCAGCCAUGUCCUAGGUUUUUCAUUUUGUAUGAAUUUCAUGUUUCACUGGAAUAUGAGAAUACACCAACUGGAAGAACUGUUGAGCAACACAUUUUCAUGGGAUUUUAUAUGUUGUGAUGUCUGAUUUUUAUCUCUCUUCUAGUUUACAUAAAGAAGCCUAGGUAAGUACUCAAGAAUUUUGUUUUCGUCUAUAUUGACAGACUUUAGGUAUUUUUUUAGAAUGAUUCUGAAACGAGGUCACUCCUACUGAUCUUGCUCUUCGUGUCCGGUGGCAGGAUGCUAGGUCAAGAAUGCAGGGUGGGCGAAAGAAAAUUGUGAAUGCUUUUAUCUCCGUGGUCAUUUGGAGCAUAUGGAGGGACAAGAUAGCGGGCUUUAAUAGUGUCUUCGCGCUGCUCCAGAGAGUCAUCGAUCCUGAUACUAGGCAGUAGGCUCGUGUGAGCUUGGGUCAUUUGAUCAUCCCCGAUUGUGUAAAGACUCCUCUGGAAUAUAUGCAAUCCUAUUGCAUGGUUUAAAAAAGAAUGAUUCUGAAACGGGUGUAAAGCAGUGUACGUGCUUGGCAACAGCUAAACCUACUAAUAUAUGGAAUUUUUUUCAAAGCACACAUGGUGUUAGUGGGUCUCUGCUCCAGUUGGCGCAACGGGUGGUAUCAUGCCCAUGCCUAUAUGACACGAUAUACUUCUUUGUAAUGUAAUCAGUUGUGCAUGUCAAUGGAAGUGGUUUAAAGCAUGUAAGCUGAUGCAUCUUGUGCUUGCUUGUCACUAUUUGUACUAGGCAAGGUCUACAAUAGAUUAUAUAUUCAUUCAAACAUGUACUUGGUUUGCUUCCUUUUCCUGCUUGAACAUAUGUAAGUUCUUAUUAUCUUUACAUGCUUAUUUGGUGAGGAAGCCAUC